rnacentral:rRNA from 1 species
GAUGAACGCUGACAGAAUGCUUAACACAUGCAAGUCUUUGGCGAAGCUGUGCUUGCACAGCCUAGCCAAGGCGGACGGGUGAGUAACGCGUAAGGAACUUGCCCUGCAGUCAGGGAUAACAGACGGAAACGACUGAUAAGACCUGGUAAAGUCAGGCGGACUCAUGUCCAGCCUGAUGAAAAGAGAUGCUGCAGGAGAGCCUUGCGUCCUAUUAGCUUGUUGGUGGGGUAACGGCCCACCAAGGCGAUGAUAGGUAGCCGGCCUGAGAGGGUGGACGGCCACAAGGGGACGGAGAUACGGCCCUUACUCCUACGGGAGGCAGCAGUGGGGAAUAUUGGACAAUGGGGGCAACCCUGAUCCAGCAAUUCUGUGUGCACGAUGAAGGUUUUCGGAUUGUAAAGUGCUUUCAGCAGGGAAGAAAAAAAUGACGGUACCUGCAGAAGAAGCGACGGCUAAAUACGUG